rnacentral:lncRNA from 1 species
AUAUUAGUGCCUGCUGCAGUUUUAAGAACAUCAGAACCCAUCGGCCAACCUCCAGGGAGGCACCCCUCUCCCUGGUUGCUUAGGGCCGAAAACCCCGACCCUCAUGUUUUUAAAGAGAAUUGGAAUCCUAUGUGAAUAAGGUGGGAAAACUGGAAAGAUUGAAUGUCCUUUGGAGUUCACAGAGGUUUGGCAGUGGGAGGAGAAAAACAAAACGAAGCAUAGUGGGAGUGUUGAACAGACUUUCCCAAGAUCCCCAGGAAAAGCAAAGCUACUACAAGAACUCACUACAUCAAUGCGUGUUCAUUAUUGAGAACAUCCUAGGAGAGCGUGCAUCAUCACAGGCUGCUCUGAGGUCUGUGCCCAAUCAAGCAAAGAACAACGGGGAUAAUCACACUGUGCAGAGGGUGACCAAUUUAGAAAAAAAGGACCCUUAAGAAGGUCUUCCAACUUCCUUAAAUGACUUUCAUUAAUUUUACACCUUUUGCCAAUUAAUUGCACUUAUGAGCCUUCCUUGUCAAUUACUGCAUUCUCAUUUUCGGCAAUUGAACUAAUCUUGGCCUAUUCAUAUUUUGUUUUUUAAAUAGGUAUUUCCAAUUAUUGAUAUAGAUCUUUAUAAUUACAUUACAAAUGUUUCACCAUAUUUAUUCAUUCUUUAUAGAGACAAAAUAAAGGUUCUAUCAUCUACACUUAAAA